GCGUAUUUUUGAGACACUCUGCAAAAUCCACAAAUGCAGACAAAAUCCACAAAUGCAGACAAGAUCCACAAAUAGCCUCACAUGCACAUUCACGUCCACUAGAUGGCAGUGUGGUAAGACAACGGAUCUGACAAGUGCUAAGACAAAGGAAAACGUUGAAAUUGCUGAAAUUGAAGCGUGCUGAAAUGGAAACGUCUGAUGGAUGGGAAACAUUAAAACAGCACAUCAUGGGAAGACUGCAUGACAGGGUCUCGCAUGCUCUCCAGCAAGCCCCACUUGAUCUAGACUACCUAGAAUUUGUAUGUACGCAGGAAAUUGUUUUCCUGGGCAUUGUUUCUGAACAUGUGCAUGUAUCCCAGGAAGUUACUGACAUAUUGUUGCAGCUGAGCCGUGCUCUACAGGAUACACGCCAACAUCAACAACAAAACCCUCCCCCACCCAUUCAAUUAGAAAGAACACAUGGCAGAGGAUGACCAACCAUUUCAAUUUGUAUUGAAUAUCUGCAACAGCUGGUGGAAUUUGGAAUCCCAAUGGCAACAGUUGCCAACUUUUGGGGGGUUUCCCGUGCCACUGUCUACCGAAGAAUGGCUGCAAAUAACAUCUCUGUCAGGGGACAGUGCAGUACUUGUACUGAUGCAGAGCUUGAUGGACUUGUCAGUGAAAUAAAAAACGUAUCUCCACAUGCAGGCUAUAGAUCUGUUAAGGGAAUGCUGGAAGGUGCUGGUCAUCAACUACAGUAGUACCGUGUGAGAGCUUCAAUGCAUCGUGUUGACAGCCUGGGGAUACUGACAAGAAUGAGGGAGCUAGGAUGCGUGGUUAGAUGGACGUACUCUGUGCCAUGCUCCAAGUACCUUGUGCACAUAGACACUAACCACAAACUAAUCAGGUACAACAUGGUGAUAUUUGGUGGCACUGAUGGAUAUUCACGCAAGAUAAUGUACUUGAAAGCGGCAGACAACCACCGGUCCAACACCAACCUUGCCUUCUUCAGUCAGGCUGUACAGGAGUUUGGCUAGCCACUAAAAGUCCGAGCAGAUCAAGGAGGAGAGAAUGUUGACAUUGCUAGUUUAAUGUUUACUGUGCGCGGACCAGAGAGUGGAUGCUUCAUAGCUGGAAAAAGUGUCCAUAACCAACGAAUCGAAAGACUUUGGCGAGAUGUUUGGAUGGGUGUCACAAAUGUGUUCUAUCACAUUUUCCACACACUGGAAGAAGAGGGCCUCCUUGAUUUAAGCAAUGGCACUCACUUUUUCUGUUUGCACUACGUGUUUCUGCCACGUCUCCAAGCAAGCUUGGAUGUUUUUCGUGAAGGAUGGGACAACCACCCCCUGAGGACUGAGCAGAACCUUACUCCAAACCAGCUGUGGGAGAUUGGCCAGAUGCAACAUCCUGUUGUCAAUCCAGAGGACAUGAACAUUCCUGUGAUAGACUGGGAGGAGAGUGGGGAGGUCCCAGAGCCACACCUUGGAGUAAAUGUUCCACAACUAGAGAGCCCUCUCACUCCUGAACAACUGGAGACAUUGAAGAGCCUCAUUGACCCUAUGCAGCCAUCACAGUCCCAUGGUGUCGACAUUUUCCUGACUACUCUUCAGUAUGUUGUAAAUAUUCUGGAAGAACGUUAAAACAGUGGCUUAAUGACUUCACAACAGUGCUUUGGUUUUCACCAUAUUUCUUUGUUUUGGU